rnacentral:tRNA from 1 species
UCCUUCGUGGUGUAGUGGUCAACACACUGGGAUCGUAUUCGAGAAGUCCGAGGUUCGAAUCCCGGCGAGGGAA